GAUGAACGCUGGCGGCGUGCCUAAUACAUGCAAGUCGAGCGAACAGAUAAGGAGCUUGCUCCUUUGACGUUAGCGGCGGACGGGUGAGUAACACGUGGGUAACCUACCUAUAAGACUGGGAUAACUUCGGGAAACCGGAGCUAAUACCGGAUAAUAUUUCGAACCGCAUGGUUCGAUAGUGAAAGAUGGUUUUGCUAUCACUUAUAGAUGGACCCGCGCCGUAUUAGCUAGUUGGUAAGGUAACGGCUUACCAAGGCGACGAUACGUAGCCGACCUGAGAGGGUGAUCGGCCACACUGGAACUGAGACACGGUCCAGACUCCUACGGGAGGCAGCAGUAGGGAAUCUUCCGCAGUGGGCGAAAGCCUGACGGAGCAACGCCGCGUGAGUGAUGAAGGUCUGCGGAUCGUAAAACUCUGUUAUUAGGGAAGAACAUACGUGUAAGUAACUGUGCACGUCUGGACGGUACCUAAUCAGAAAGCCACGGCUAACUACGU
rnacentral:rRNA from 1 species